rnacentral:rRNA from 1 species
AGUGAACGCUGGCGGUAGGCCUAACACAUGCAAGUCGAACGGCAGCACAGUAAGAGCUUGCUCUUACGGGUGGCGAGUGGCGGACGGGUGAGGAAUACAUCGGAAUCUACUUUUUCGUGGGGGAUAACGUAGGGAAACUUACGCUAAUACCGCAUACGACCUACGGGUGAAAGUAGGGGAUCUUCGGACCUUGCGCGAUUGAAUGAGCCGAUGUCGGAUUAGCUAGUUGGCGGGGUAAAGGCCCACCAAGGCGACGAUCCGUAGCUGGUCUGAGAGGAUGAUCAGCCACACUGGAACUGAGACACGGUCCAGACUCCUACGGGAGGCAGCAGUGUGGAAUAUUGGACAGUGGGCGCAAGCCUGAUCCAGCCAUACCGCGUGGGUGAAGAAGGCCUUCGGGUUGUAAAGCCCUUUUGUUGGGAAAGAAAAGCAGCAGGUUAAUACCCCGCUGUUCUGACGGUACCCAAAGAAUAAGCACCGGCUAACCUCGUG